rnacentral:rRNA from 1 species
GUAGGCAUGGCGGAGCCUAGACUGCAAGUCGAACGGGCUGUUUAUGCAGCCAGUGGCGGACGGGUGAGUAACACGUAGGUGACCUACCCCAAAGUCUGGGACAACUAGGAGAAAUCUUAGCUAAUCCUGGAUGUGGACAUCUACUUUGGUGGAUGUUUAAAGCUUCGGCGCUUUGGGAUGGGCCUGCGGCGCAUCAGGUAGUUGGUGGGGUAAUGGCCUACCAAGCCGACGACGCGUAGCUGGUCUGAGAGGACGAUCAGCCACAGGGGUACUGAGACACGGACCCCACUCCUACGGGAGGCAGCAGUUAGGAAUCUUCCGCAAUGGGCGAAAGCCUGACGGAGCGAUACCGCUUGAAGGACGAAGCCCUUCGGGGUGUAAACUUCUGAACUCGGGACGAUAAUGACGGUACCGAGGUAAUAGCACCGGCUAACUCCGUGCCAGCAGCCGCGGUAAUACGGAGGGUGCGAGCGUUACCCGGAUUUACUGGGUGUAAAGGGCGUGUAGGCGGUCUCUCAAGUCCGAUGCUAAAGACCGAAGCUCAACUUCGGGGGUGCGUUGGAUACUGUGAGGCUAGACGGUCGGAGAGGGUAGCGGAAUUUCCGGAGUAGCGGUGAAAUGCGCAGAUACCGGAAGGAACGCCAAUAGCGAAAGCAGCUACCUGGACGAUUUGUGACGCUGAGGCGCGAAAGCGUGGGGAGCAAACCGGAUUAGAUACCC